UUACAGUAUCUACAGACUGAAGGGUUCC
rnacentral:sRNA from 1 species